UCUGGUGGUAAUGACGUGAAGGCAACACUCCUUCCCAUUCCGAACAGGCAAGUUAAGCUUCAUUGUGCCGAUGGUACUGCAGAGGAGGCUCUGUGGGAGAGUAGGUAGCUGCCAGAU
rnacentral:rRNA from 1 species